rnacentral:rRNA from 1 species
AUUGAACGCUGGCGGCAUGCCUUACACAUGCAAGUCGAACGGCAGCACGGGUGCUUGCACCUGGUGGCGAGUGGCGAACGGGUGAGUAAUACAUCGGAACGUACCUUAUCGUGGGGGAUAACGCAGCGAAAGCUGUGCUAAUACCGCAUACGCCCUGAGGGGGAAAGCGGGGGAUCGAAAGACCUCGCGCGAUUAGAGCGGCCGAUGCCUGAUUAGCUUGUUGGUGGGGUAAAAGCCCACCAAGGCGACGAUCAGUAGCUGGUCUGAGAGGACGAUCAGCCACACUGGGACUGAGACACGGCCCAGACUCCUACGGGAGGCAGCAGUGGGGAAUUUUGGACAGUGGGGGCAACCCUGAUCCAGCAAUGCCGCGUGAGUGAAGAAGGCCUUCGGGUUGUUAAGCUCUUUUGUCAGGGAAGAAACACCGGCUCUAACACAGUCCGGGAAUGACGGUACCUGAUGAAUAAGCACCGGCUAACUACGUGCCAGCCGCCGCGGUAA